UUUGUUGUUUCCCGGUUUAAGUAUGAGGUGGUUACUUUUGGUGUCUGGGCUGGGGAAGGGGUGUUUUAAUUUUUUUUUGUUUGAUGUUUUUUGUUCUAUAGUACUUUGUUCCUAGUUUUCUUUUACGUCUCUUGUUAAUCGAAAAAAAUCUUAUCAUGAUAAGAAUUGAGUGUAUGUCUUGUUAAUGAGGUUAGUAAUAACAAUGCUU
rnacentral:lncRNA from 1 species